rnacentral:lncRNA from 1 species
AAAGACAUUGAAGUCCCCUUAGGAUGGAUCGCCGAAAUAUAAAUUAUUGUCCUUGCAUUCCAUUAAUAUAUAACAAAAAUAGGCUUUAUUUAUUUUAAGAACUGAUCUUUGAACUACUUGCGUUUUGUUCAGUGUGGCGAAAGUGGUUACAAGAGAUCCAUAUUCUGCUUUCGAAAUUUAUGAACCUAGUGGCUCUUCAAUUUCCGGGAAGUCUCAAAGAGAUUCAUCUUCUGCUCUCGAAAUUUAUGAACCUAGUGGCUCUUCAAUUUCCAGGAAGUUUCAAAGAGAUUCAUCUUCUGCUCUUGAAAUUGAUGAACCUAGUGGCUCUUCAAUUUCUGGGAAGUCUCAGAGAGAUCCAUCUUCUGCUCUCGAAAUUGAUGAACCUAGUGGCUCUUCAAUUUCCGCGAAGUCUCAAAGAGAUCCGUCUUCUGCUCUCGAAAUUUAUGAACCUAGUGGCUCUUCAUUUUCCGAGAAGUCUCAAAGAGAUCCAUCUUUUGGUCUCAAAAUGGAUGAACCUAGUGGCUCUUCAAUUUCCGGGAAGUCUCAAAGAGAUCCAUCUUCUGCUCUCGAAAUUAAUGAACCUAGUGGCUCUUCAAUUUCCAAGAAGUCUCAAAGAGAUCCAUCUUCUGCUCUCAAAAUUUAUGAACCUAGUGGCGCUUCAAUUUCCGGGAAGUCUAAAAGAGAUCCAUCUUCUGCUCUCGAAAUUUAUGAACCUAGUGGCUUUACAGAGUUGACAACAUCCAAUGUCAAAAGAUUACUCUACAAAAUGAAAAAUAUUUUCCUACGGUGGCCGUACUUUGAUUGGAUGCAAAUGAUAUUGGUUGUGACUGUAAUAUCAGUCGAUCCUUUGUUUUUCUA